AGAGUUUGAUCCUGGCUCAGGAUGAACGCAGGCGGCGUGCUUAACACAUGCAAGUCGAACGAUCCUUCGGGAUAGUGGCGGACGGGUGAGUAACGCGUGGGAAUCUGCCCUCAGGAGGGGGAUAACGGCUGGAAACGGCCGCUAAUACCCCAUAUGCCGAGAGGUGAAAUGAAUUUCGCCUGAGGAUGAGCCCGCGUCUGAUUAGCUAGUUGGUGGGGUAAAGGCCUACCAAGGCAACGAUCAGUAGCUGGUCUGAGAGGAUGAUCAGCCACACUGGGACUGAGACACGGCCCAGACUCCUACGGGAGGCAGCAGUGGGGAAUUUUCCGCAAUGGGCGAAAGCCUGACGGAGCAACGCCGCGUGAGGGAUGAAGGCCUCUGGGCUGUAAACCUCUUUUCUCAAGGAAGAAGACCUGACGGUACUUGAGGAAUAAGCCACGGCUAAUUCCGUGCCAGCAGCCGCGGUAAUACGGGAGUGGCAAGCGUUAUCCGGAAUUAUUGGGCGUAAAGCGUCCGCAGGCGGCCUUGUAAGUCUGUUGUUAAAGCGUGGAGCUCAACUCCAUUUAAGCAAUGGAAACUACAAGGCUGGAGUGUGGUAGGGGCAGAGGGAAUUCCCGGUGUAGCGGUGAAAUGCGUAGAUAUCGGGAAGAACACCAGUGGCGAAGGCGCUCUGCUGGGCCAUAACUGACGCUCAUGGACGGAAGCCAGGGGAGCGAAAGGGAUUAGAUACCCCUGUAGUCCUGGCCGUAAACGAUGAACACUAGGUGUCGGGGGAAUCGACCCCCUCGGUGUCGUAGCCAACGCGUUAAGUGUUCCGCCUGGGGAGUACGCACGCAAGUGUGAAACUCAAAGGAAUUGACGGGGGCCCGCACAAGCGGUGGAGUAUGUGGUUUAAUUCGAUGCAACGCGAAGAACCUUACCAGGGUUUGACAUCCUGCGAACCCCUGAGAAAUCGGGGGGUGCCUUCGGGAGCGCAGAGACAGGUGGUGCAUGGCUGUCGUCAGCUCGUGUCGUGAGAUGUUGGGUUAAGUCCCGCAACGAGCGCAACCCACGUCUUUAGUUGCCAGCAUUCAGUUGGGCACUCUAGAGAGACCGCCGGUGAUAAACCGGAGGAAGGUGUGGAUGACGUCAAGUCAUCAUGCCCCUUACAUCCUGGGCUACACACGUACUACAAUGCUACGGACAAAGGGCAGCAAGCUCGCGAGAGUUAGCAAAUCCCAUAAACCGUGGCUCAGUUCAGAUCGUAGGCUGCAACUCGCCUACGUGAAGGAGGAAUCGCUAGUAAUCGCAGGUCAGCAUACUGCGGUGAAUACGUUCCCGGGCCUUGUACACACCGCCCGUCACACCAUGGAAGUUGGCCAUGCCCGAAGUCGUUACUCCAACCCUUGUGGAGGAGGACGCCGAAGGUGGGGCUGAUGACUGGGGUGAAGC
rnacentral:rRNA from 1 species